GAUGAACGCUGGCGGCGUGCCUAAUACAUGCAAGUCGAGCGAACAGACGAGGCGCUUGCUCCUCUGACGUUAGCGGCGGACGGGUGAGUAACACGUGGAUAACCUACCUAUAAGACUGGGAUAACCUCGGGAAACCGGAGCUAAUACCGGAUAAUAUAUUGAACCGCAUGGUUCAAUAGUGAAAGACGGUGUUGCUGUCACUUAUAGAUGGUUCCGGGCCGCAUUGGCUAGUUGGUAAGGUAACGGCUUACCAAGGCAACGAUGCGUAGCCGACCUGAGAGGGUGGUAGGCCACACUGGAGCUGGAACACGGUCCAGACUCCUGAGGGAGGCAGCAGUAGGGAAUCUGCCGCAGUAGGCGGAAGCUUGACGGAGCAACGCCGCGUGAGUGAUAGAGGUCCUCGGAUCGUAAAACUCUGUUAUUAGGGAAGAACAAAUGUGUAAGUAAAUAUGCACGUCUUGACGGUACCUAGUCAGAAAGCAACGGCUAACUACGUG
rnacentral:rRNA from 1 species